rnacentral:rRNA from 1 species
GUGGGGAAUAUUGGACAAUGGGCGCAAGCCUGAUCCAGCAAUGCCGCGUGGGUGAAGAAGGUCUUCGGAUCGUAAAGCCCUUUCGACAGGGACGAUGAUGACGGUACCUGUAGAAGAAGCCCCGGCUAACUUCGUGCCAGCAGCCGCGGUAAUACGAAGGGGGCUAGCGUUACUCGGAAUUACUGGGCGUAAAGGGCGCGUAGGCGGCUCGGUUAGUCAGGCGUGAAAUUCCUGGGCUUAACCUGGGGAUUGCGCUUGAUACUGCAGGGCUUGAGGCCGAGAGAGGGUGGUGGAAUUCCCAGUGUAGAGGUGAAAUUCGUAGAUAUUUGGAAGAACACCAGUGGCGAAGGCGACAUACUGGCUCAUUACUGACGCUGAGGCGCGAAAGCGUGGGGAGCAAACAGGAUUAGAUACCCGAGUAGUCC